UAGUUCUGCUCCAGAGUACCACGAGACACGUGAAACCUUGUGGGAAGCAGGGAGGACCACCUCCCAAGGCUAAAUACUACUUGAUGACCGAUAGUGAAGAAGUACCGUGAGGGAAAGGUGAAAAGAACCCCGGAAGGGGAGUGAAAUAGAACCUGAAACCGUGUGCCUACAACCGAUCAUAGCACCAUAUGUGUGUGAUGAUGUGCUUUUUGUAGAACGAGCCAACGAGUUACGGUAUGUAGCGAGGUUAAGUACUUAAGGUACGGAGCCGAAGGGAAACCGAGUCUGAAUAGGGCGACUAGUUGCAUGCCGUAGACCCGAAACCGGGUGACCUAUCCAUGGCCAGGUUGAAGCGAAGGUAAAACUUCGUGGAGGACCGAACCACGUUGGUGUUGAAAAACCAUGGGAUGAGCUGUGGAUAGCGGAGAAAUUCCAAUCGAACUCGGAGAUAGCUGGUUCUCCCCGAAAUAGCUUUAGGGCUAGCGUCGGAUAUGACUAAUGGAGGUAGAGCACUGAAUGGGCUAGGGGGCAUAUCGCUUACCGAACCUUAUCAAACUCCGAAUGCCAUAUAGUAUUAGUCCGGCAGUCAGACUGCGAAUGAUAAGAUCCGUAGUCAAAAGGGAAACAGCCCAGAUCGUCAGCUAAGGUCCCAAAGUAUAAGUUAAGUGGAAAAGGAUGUGGGAUUUCUAAGACAACUAGGAUGUUGGCUUAGAAGCAGCCACUCAUUAAAAGAGUGCGUAAUAGCUCACUAGUCGAGAGAUCCUGCGCCGAAGAUGUUCGGGGCUCAAACUUAUCACCGAAGCUACGGCUAGCAGAUUUA
rnacentral:rRNA from 1 species